rnacentral:rRNA from 1 species
AUGUUAUUUAUGUUUGAUUCAGCUUUGAACCCAUCAGUUAUUUCCGGGCUCCUGAACUCAAUUGAGCACCUCAAUGGGACUAACUUUCUUACCUGGAAGGAGCAGAUUUUGAUUAACCUUGGUGUCAUGGACCUUGAUUAUGCACUUAGGGAAAAAGCUCCAGUUUAUGAGGCUAAUAAGGAGAAGUGGGAGCGCUCCAAUCGCUUGUCUAUCAUGAUCAUGAAAAUCACAAUUACUCUUGGGAUUAGGGGAGCAAUCCCUGAUUCUGAAUGUGCUAAGACUUAUCUAGCGUCGGUGGAGGAGCAAUUUAAAGGCUCAACAAAAGUCUACGCUAGUACGUUGAUCAUGAAAAUGCUCACCACUAAGUAUGAUGGUAAAAGCGGCGUGAGAGAACAUAUCAUGACUAUGAAUAAUAUGGCCGCAAAAUUAAAGGGCAUGGACAUGGAGAUUUCUGAGGGCUUUCUGGUUCACUUCAUUAUGACUUCUCUCCCUAUGGAGUAUGGUCCCUUCAAAAUUAAUUAUAAUACUCAGAAGGAGAAGUGGACCAUGAGUGAGCUCACAUCUAUGUGCGUUCAAGAAGAAGAGCGGCUUAAGGUUGAAAGGAUAGAUUAUGCUCAUCUUACUUCCAUAAACUUAGGGAAAAGAAAGUCUCAGGGUGAUGGGAAACCUAAGAAGAAGAUGAACUUCUCUAAUAUUGAUGCAAGCAAGCUAGGGAACUCUGGCACCAAGGACAUCGCUACAUAG